rnacentral:rRNA from 1 species
UGAGCAAUCUGCCCUUCACAUCGGAAUAACCAUUGGAAACGAUGGCUAAUACCGAAUACGACCUCCUUUCGCAUGAUCGGAGGUGGAAAGCUCCGGCGGAGAAGGAUGAGCUCGCGGCCUAUCAGCUAGUUGGUGUGGGUAAUGGCCCACCAAGGCGACGACGGGUAGCCGGCCUGAGAGGGUGACCAGCCACACUGGGACUGAGACACGGCCCAGACUCCGUAGGGGGCAG